GGCACAUGCUGCGGACAACGUUCGGGCUUGGAGCUGCCAGCGAGCGACGUGCCCAGCCUGGGCCGGACCUGCUGCAUGGUUCCCCCAACACCUCGUGCUCGGAGGCAAGGGCAUGGCAGCAAACUGGCCCGGCCCGGCUUCUCCCGGGCUGGAGAGGCAGCUGGCAGUAGCCAAGUUACAUUCCUUCUUCCGUGCCGAUGCGUUGUGAGCUCAGCUGUAAAAAAGCUCGAGAACGUCCCGAUAAUUUACCAUUCAAAAGCUGGUGGGAAGAGGCACACCCCGAGGACAGAAAACCGGAAUUAGCCGACGCAAAACAGCUCCUGACAGAACUCCAGGACUGGGUUAAGUCCGUGCCCGACACCCAAGAAAAUGUAAAUCCGGAAGCCGAUGAACUGAAAUUGGUGGGUCAGAAAUUCUGCCAGCUGCCUCUCCACCCCC